rnacentral:rRNA from 1 species
CCUACGGGUGGCUGCAGUAGGGAAUAUUGCUCAAUGGGGGAAACCCUGAAGCAGCAACGCCGCGUGGAGGAAGAAGGUCUUAGGAAUGUAAACUCCUUUUGUGAGAGAAGAUACUGAGGGUAUCCCACGAAUAAGCACCGGCUAACGCCGUGCCAGCAGCCGCGGUAAUACGGAGGGUGCAAGCGUUACUCGGAAUCACUGGACGUAAAGAGUGCGCAGGCGGGCUUGUAAGUCAGACGUGAAAUCCUGUAGCUUAACUACAGAACUGCAGUUGAAACUAUGAGUCUAGAGUGUGGGAGAGGUAUGUGGAAUUCUUGGUGUAGGGGUAAAAUGCGUAGAUAUCAAGAGGAAUACUCAUUGCGAAGGCGACCUACUGGAACAUUACUGACGCUCAUGCACGAAAGCGUGGGGAGCAAACAGGAUUAGAUACCCCUGUAGUC